CACGUGAGGGAAGUCACGUGAUGUUUGGUUUUCAUUUCUCCGGCUCCCUCCUCCCCUCCGGUCGCGCGCGCUGCCUCGCUCCUUCCUUCCCAUCCCGGGCGAGCGAGCGAGCUGUUUCCGGGUCAAUGCAGGACGCGGCCGCCGGACGGGGAGCCUAAAAAGCGGUGGGGCCCGGGAAUUACAUGGAUGUGUGAUCUUUUCCCUCCCGGAAAAAUACAAUGAAGGGCUAAGAAGAUUCCCAGAAACUCAUACAUGUAACUCCCGAGAGAGCUAAUGCUGAAACUAAAAAUAACCAUCUUGUCAUUUCUGGAAGGGACAAUGGAUCAGCCCAGUGGGAGAAGUUUCAUGCAAGUUCUUUGUGAAAAAUACAGCCCGGAAAACUUCCCUUAUCGUCGUGGUCCCGGAAUGGGCGUGCAUGUCCCAGCUACACCUAAGGGUUCACCUAUGAAAGGUACAGGUUUUGGCUGCAUUUUUCUUUCAACAUCCCUAGAACAGGGCUUG